UACGGGGGGGGCAAGCGUUGUUCGGAAUUACUGGGCGUAAAGGGCUCGUAGGCGGCCAACUAAGUCAUACGUGAAAUCCCUCGGCUUAACCGGGGAACUGCGUCUGAUACUGGAUGGCUUGAGAUUGGGAGAGGGAUGCGGAAUUCCAGGUGUAGCGGUGAAAUGCGUAGAUAUCUGGAGGAACACCGGUGGCGAAGGCGGCAUCCUGGACCAACACUGACGCUGAGGAGCGGAAGCCAGGGGAGCAAACGGG
rnacentral:rRNA from 1 species